GCGCUGUCUGGACAUGGCCCUGGGCACCCUGCUCUGGGUACCAUGGCUUGAACAAGGGUUGGACCCAGAGACCCCUGCCAACCUCAGACAGUCUGGCAUUCUUUCUCUGAACACAAAAACCAACAGCUGGGAACUGAAAUGUAGCGCAGCGGCCUGAAUUCUGAAGGUCUGCAGGCAGAGAGAACAGAACCUCUUACUGCUGCCCACUGUUACCUCACUGCUGGAAUCAGUGCUGUUACAGAAACUGUUUUUACAUCUUCUGUUAACAGGGGAUGGGAAGGAAAGUAAGAACCCCUGUUUUGGUUUGGACAAUAAAAGAAGCUGUGUGCUAGAAAAGGGACAAUUGGAUAUGGGGGUGAUGAUUUCACAAAGCUCGAGGUUGGUGGUUACCCUGAGCACCUCCACUACAAAGGGCAGCACUCGGGGAAGGGUUGGAGAAGGGAAGAUGCCAGCUGAGGCUGCCACCUCUGUUGCAGCCCUUCUGAACGUGGUCCUUAGGGUUACGGCUGCUGUUCAGAAGUGUGUGUGACAAUGCAUUUAUUGUCAAAGGAAGGGCAGGGUGAGGAGGGAAAUCUCUCUAACUCACUGCCAGGUGGUUUUGACAGCUUUUGUACUUGAAUUUCCACACAUCACAUCACCAGGGAGGAAGAGCUCUGGGUUGCAAACACCUAAACCAGAGCUCAACCACAAACCAUGACGAGAGCACAACCAGACCCCAACGCUGCAUGGCUGCUGCCCUACCACCUUGCCUUGGAGCCACCCCCAGCCACACCGCGUCUUUGGAGGUACAGUUGGUGUUCCACGCUAUGCCUGCACUCCCCUGAAUGGCUUCUUGGCCAUGUGUCCCAGGCAGGUGCUGCUGUGUGCCCUGAAGAAGGGGGACAUCUGCUUUGGGGCAUCCCCAGGCAAAAAGGACGUGUGACUAUCUGCUGUCCUAUCAGAGAGGUGUUAACCUUAAAAAUAAAACAACACUGCAACAAUAUACUGAAGAUUUCAAUAGAAUCAGAG
rnacentral:lncRNA from 1 species